AGGGUGUAAACGCUGCAGACUUGGUGUUGGAAGCCCUUUGGGGGCAUUCAGUGCCGGAGAGAAGUUGUUAAGUCUGCUACUUGGGAGUACGUCCGCAAGGAUGAAACUUAAAGGAAUUGGCGGGGGAGCACCGCAACGGGAGGAGCGUGCGGUUUAAUUGGAUUCAACACCGUAAAACUCACCAGGGAAGACUGUUACAUGAAGGCCGAGAUGAAGACUCUGCUAGAUUUUCAGAGAGGAGGUGCAUGGCGUCAGUGACU
rnacentral:rRNA from 1 species